CCCAACCAAACCUUAGAAGGUCUUCUAAACUACGGGGUUUAGUACGUACUUGGACGUUUAACCACUAAACCCCUUAACCUUUGACGUUAACCCCCACGUUUAGGCUCUAGUUUAACCUAUCAUUUUCCGAGUCGUUACAAAAGGCGAAUCCAAUCCAACCAAAUCUGGAAAAACCGAUAUAGAGGCAAAUCUAAGCCAAUCAUAUAACCAACUCUCAAACCGAC
rnacentral:lncRNA from 1 species